GCGCCCAUAGCUCAGAUGGAUAGAGUAACGGACUACGAAUCCGCAGGCCGCAAGUUCGAAUCUUGCUGGGCGCACCA
rnacentral:tRNA from 1 species